rnacentral:rRNA from 1 species
UUACCGAGAGUUGUAGGCUUCUGUCUACCAUCUCUUACCCAUGUCUUUUGCGUACUACACGUUUCCUCGGCAGGUCCGCCUGCCGCUAGGACAAAAUUAAACCAUUUGCAGUUGCAGUCAGCGUCUGAAAAAUUUAAUAAUUACAACUUUCAACAACGGAUCUCUUGGUUCUGGCAUCGAUGAAGAACGCAGCGAAAUGCGAUAAGUAGUGUGAAUUGCAGAAUUCAGUGAAUCAUCGAAUCUUUGAACGCACAUUGCGCCCCUUGGUAUUCCAUGGGGCAUGCCUGUUCGAGCGUCAUUUGUACCUUCAAGCUCUGCUUGGUGUUGGGUGUUUGUCCCGCCUUUGCGCGUGGACUCGCCUUAAAGCAAUUGGCAGCCGGCGUAUAGAUUUCGGAGCGCAGCACAAAACGCGCUUUGUUAGCAAUACGGUGGCGUCCAGUAAGCCUUUUUUAACUCUUGACCUCGGAUCAGGUAGGGAUACCCGCUGAACUUAAGCAUAUCAAUAAGCGGAGGAAAAGAAACCAACAGGGAUUGCCCUAGUAACGGCGAGUGAAGCGGCAACAGCUCAAAUUUGAAAUCUGGCGUCUUUGGCGUCCGAGUUGUAAUUUGCAGAGGGCGCUUUGGCGUUGGCAGCGGUCCAAGUUCCUUGGAACAGGACGUCACAGAGGGUGAGAAUCCCGUACGUGGUCGCUGG